rnacentral:rRNA from 1 species
UACGGGGGGGAGCAAGCGUUGUUCGGAUUUACUGGGCGUAAAGGGCGCGUAGGCGGCCACCGCAAGUCGACUGUGAAAUCUCCGGGCUUAACCCGGAAAGGUCAGCCGAUACUGCGGGGCUAGAGUGCAGAAGGGGCAACUGGAAUUCUCGGUGUAGCGGUGAAAUGCGUAGAUAUCGAGAGGAACACCUGCGGCGAAGGCGGGUUGCUGGGCUGACACUGACGCUGAGGCGCGAAAGCCAGGGGAGCGAGCGGG